AACUGAAGCUUACCGACGGCGGUGCUCUCGGGUGCGACGGCUCUCCGGUGAGGUUCGUGCUUUGGUGAUUUGGCUCCGAUCAAUUGUGCAAUGAAGGUUGGGUCUCGGUGAUGAUAAGCUGCAAUGUAUAUGAUUGCCGCUCGGAAAUUAAGGACAGCAGAGAGAGAGCUUCUUCUGUGACAGAGAUGGCCUGAGCUGCUUGGAGUCGCGCUGAAGAAAAUACAGAGAUGGGUGAUAUUUGUGUUUAUGUCAAUAAGUAAAGGCCAGUAAUUGGUUCUGCGAGUAGAAGGAAAAUAAAGAAUGAGAAGAACAAUU
rnacentral:lncRNA from 1 species